CCCCUAGAUGUUCUGGGCCGCACGCGCGCUACACUGAACAGUUCAACAAGUCUUAACCUUGGCCGAUAGGUCUGGGUAAUCUUUGAACGCUGUUCGUGAUUGGGAUAGACCUUUGCAAUUAUGGGUCUUCAACGAGGAAUUCCUAGUAAACGCAAGUCAUCAGCUUGCAUUGAUUACGUCCCUGCCCUUUGUACACACCGCCCGUCGCACCUACCGAUUGAAUGGUCCGGUGAAAUCUCGGGACGGCGGCUUGGUCGCUUGCGUCCGACUGCUGUAACUUGAUUAAACCAUAUCAUUUAGAGGAAGGUGAAGUCGUAACA
rnacentral:rRNA from 1 species